AGCCAUAUAGAAGGUAUUUAUGGUUUAACCUGCCCAAUGUGAAAAAUUAAAUCAAUGGCCGCGGUACCCUGACCGUGCUAAGGUAGCGUAAUAAGUUGGCUUUUAAAUGGAGUCAGGUAUGAAUGGAUUAACUGGGUUUAGCUGUCUCUUAGGUGAUAUAUUGAAUUUACUGUUCAAGUGAAAAAGCUUGAUUUUAAUAAAAGGACGAGAAGACCCUUAAAAUUUUUUUUAAAAUAAUUACUAAUUAUAAUAAUUUUGUUGGGGCGACAUAGAGAUAAUUAGAACUCUCUGCAAUAAUAUUAGCCGAAUUUUUUAAGAAGAGAUAAAUUACUUAAGGGAUAACAGCAUAAUUCUAAAAUUGAGUUUGUGACCUCGAUGUUGGACUAGGAAGCUAACAGGUUAGAUGCUUGUUGUGGGGAUUCUGUUCGAAUUUUAACUCCU
rnacentral:rRNA from 1 species